GUGCUCACUCUCGCAGCACAUCUACUGACAGCAGAGCAAUACCGAAAUCAGCAUGGCCCCUGUGCUAGGAUGAUGCGGAGAUUCAUGAGGUUCCUAUAUUUUUU